AUGGCUCAGGAUGAACGCUAGCGAUAGGCCUAACACAUGCAAGUCGAGGGGCAUCACAUGAAGUAGCAAUACGGAUGGUGGCGACCGGCGCACGGGUGAGUAACACGUAUGCAACCUGCCUUCAACAAGGGGAUAACCCGUUGAAAGACGGACUAAUACCCUAUAACACAGGGGCCCCGCAUGGGGAUAUUUGUUAAAGAUUAAUCGGUUGAAGAUGGGCAUGCGUUCCAUUAGCUAGUUGGUGGGGUAAUGGCCCACCAAGGCAACGAUGGAUAGGGGAACUGAGAGGUUUAUCCCCCACACUGGUACUGAGACACGGACCAGACUCCUACGGGAGGCAGCAGUGAGGAAUAUUGGUCAAUGGACGCAAGUCUGAACCAGCCACGUCGCCGUGAAGGAAGACGGCCCUACGGGUUGUAAACUUCUUUUGCAAGGGAAUAAAGUGAGUCACGUGUGACUUUUUGCAAGUACCUUGCGAAUAAGGAUCGGCUAACUCCGUGCCAGCCGCUGC
rnacentral:rRNA from 1 species